rnacentral:rRNA from 1 species
AUAAGCCUACGGGGGGCAGCAGUCGGGAAUAUUGCGCAAUGGAGGAAACUCUGACGCAGUGACGCCGCGUAUAGGAAGAAGGUCUUCGGAUUGUAAACUAUUGUCGUUAGGGAAGAGAAAGGACAGUACCUAAGGAGGAAGCUCCGGCUAACUACGUGCCAGCAGCCGCGGUAAUACGUAGGGGGCAAGCGUUAUCCGGAUUUACUGGGUGUAAAGGGAGCGUAGACGGCUGUGCAAGUCUGAAGUGAAAGCCCAGGGCUCAACCCUGGGACUGCUUUGGAAACUGUGGAGCUAGAGUGCUGGAG